AGAGUUUGAUCAUGGCUCAGAACGAACGCUGGCGGCGUGCUUAACACAUGCAAGUCGAACGCGAAAGCUUUCUUCGGAAAGCGAGUAGAGUGGCGCACGGGUGAGUAACGCGUAAGUAAUCUACCCUGGUAUCUGGGAUAACCCACCGAAAGGUGUGCUAAUACCGGAUACGCUGAUUUAUCAGGAAAGGUGGCCUCUUCAUGAAAGCUACUGUACCAGGAGGAGCUUGCGUACCAUUAGCUAGUUGGUAGGGUAAUGGCCUACCAAGGCAACGAUGGUUAGCGGGUCUGAGAGGAUGAUCCGCCACACUGGAACUGGAACACGGACCAGACUCCUACGGGAGGCAGCAGUGAGGAAUAUUGCGCAAUGGGGGAAACCCUGACGCMGCGACGCCGCGUGGAUGAUGAAGGCCUUCGGGUCGUAAAAUCCUGUCAGAUGGAAAGAAAUGCAUAUGUAUUAAUACUACGUAUGUUUGACGGUACCAUCAAAGGAAGCACCGGCUAACUCCGUGCCAGCAGCCGCGGUAAUACGGAGGGUGCAAGCGUUGUUCGGAAUUACUGGGCGUAAAGCGCGCGUAGGCGGUUUGUUAAGUCAGAUGUGAAAGUCCACGGCUCAACCGUGGAAGUGCAUUUGAAACUGGCAGACUUGAGUACUGGAGGGGGUGGUGGAAUUCCCGGUGUAGAGGUGAAAUUCGUAGAUAUCGGGAGGAAUACCGGUGGCGAAGGCGACCACCUGGCCAGAUACUGACGCUGAGGUGCGAAAGCGUGGGGAGCAAACAGGAUUAGAUACCCUGGUAGUCCACGCCGUAAACGAUGUCAACUAGGUGUUGGGGAGGUUAAUCUUCUCAUUGCCGCAGCUAACGCAUUAAGUUGACCGCCUGGGGAGUACGGUCGCAAGAUUAAACUCAAGGGAAUUGACGGGGGCCCGC
rnacentral:rRNA from 1 species